rnacentral:rRNA from 1 species
CCUGCCCAGUGGAGACCAUUUCUAAACGGCCGCGGUAUCUUGACCGUGCAAAGGUAGCAUAAUCACUUGUCUCUUAAAUGGGGACCUGUAUGAACGGCUUCACAUUCUUAAACUGUCUCCCUUUCUCACCUCAUAAACUUCUAUACACGUGAAGAAGCGUGUAAAAUUUAGAAAGACGAGAAGACCCUGUCGAGCUUUAGUCAACCUCAAAACAACUUAAACUCUUUAAGAAAAGUAGAUUUUUAGAGCUAGACUUUGGUUGGGGCAACCAUGGAGAAAAACAAUCCUCCAGUUCACUAGGCAGAAACCUCUUCACCUAAAAAUUUUUUAGAACCAGUCAUUCUGGAAAACGGAAAAAGUUACCGCAGGGAUAACAGCGUUAUCUCCUCUAAGAGCUCAUAUUGACGAGGAGGUUUGCGACCUCGAUGUUGGAUUGGGGUAACCUAAGGGUGCAGCAGCUCUUAAGGGUCGGACUGUUCGUCCGUUAAUUCCCUACGUGAUC